AGAGGAGAUACAACUAAGUUAUUGUUGAUGAUUAGAAAACCACAUAAUGCUGUAACUAGUCAAACGGUAGCUCGCUGGAUCAAAAAAGUGAUGACAGACGCUGGCAUAGACACGAACAUUUUUAGUGCACAUAGCACACGCUCCGCUGCCACUAGUGCUGCAAAGUCUGUGGGAAUGUCGCUCACCGGUAUCAUGAAUGCUGCAGGAUGGUCUAACUCAGGAACAUUUCAUAAGUUUUACCACAGAACUGUAAAUAGUGAUAAUUUUGGACUGUCAGUUUUAUCCAAAUAUUCCACAAGUGACAAUUCAACCCAAUAGGUUGAAAAUGUUUGUUUUAAUAAAUUUGGUAAA
rnacentral:sRNA from 1 species